AUGCCUCUGAAAAAAGACAGAAAAGCCCAUCCACUCUUGGACCGUAAGCUAGCCAUUCAUGUAUUGAAGUCACUGGAGGCUGAUGUAAUGAUAGCAACCAUUCAUGUUGGCAGACAAGAGAACUCUGUAUGUGAUACAGAAGACUGGGGUGAUUUUAACUGGCCAUUCCUCACAUGGAAUCAUUGUUGUAGGGCUCUGAUUCGCUGGGCAUUGACAGAUUUUGAAGGGGGCGUGAGGUGGUCUGAGCUAGCACAAUGCUUCCAGAGGGUGUCUCCUUCCUCCUUCAGUCUGGCCCGCGCAUGUCUGUGAUUGUUGUAACAGGCGUAAACUGCUCUCCUUGGCCUUCCACUCAAGGCUGGUGAAAGAGGCGUGUGGUGUCUGUGAAGUCAGAAACAUGUGGUGGCUCAGGAUUUGGGCAAAAGAGGGUAACAAUAAUAGUCAUUUUUCAUUUUCUAGUCCUUGGUGUCUAGAGGACUUUGGGGAAUUUAACAAAAUAUACAAAAAGCCCAAUUCUGAAAACAAAGCAACACAUCCCCCAGGCUCAACAAAGCAAGGCCUUAGGGAAAAUAAUAAUAAACGCCUUCCUUCCUUUGCCA
rnacentral:lncRNA from 12 species